rnacentral:rRNA from 1 species
GACGAACCGUGCGAACGUUGUUCGGAAUCACUGGGCAUAAAGGGCGCGUAGGCGGCUUGUCAAGUCAGGGGUGAAAUCCGGCAGCUUAACUGUCGAAGUGCCUUUGAUACUGAUGAGCUCGAGGGAGGUAGGGGUAUGCGGAACUUCCGGUGGAGCGGUGAAAUGCGUUGAUAUCGGAAGGAACGCCGGUGGCGAAAGCGGCGAUGACUGGAC